rnacentral:rRNA from 1 species
ACCCCUAAGGCGAGGCCGAAAGGCGUAGUCGAUGGGAAACGGGUUAAUAUUCCCGUACUUGGUGUUACUGCGAAGGGGGGACGGAGAAGGCUAUGUUGGCCGGGCGACGGUUGUCCCGGUUUAAGCGUGUAGGUGUGUGUUCCAGGUAAAUCCGGUUCACUUUAACACUGAGGCGUGACGACGAGGCACUACGGUGCUGAAGCAACAAAUGCCCUGCUUCCAGGAAAAGCCUCUAAGCAUCAGGUAACAUCAAAUCGUACCCCAAACCGACACAGGUGGUCAGGUAGAGAAUACCAAGGCGCUUGAGAGAACUCGGGUGAAGGAACUAGGCAAAAUGGUGCCGUAACUUCGGGAGAAGGCACGCUGACACGUAGGUGAAGUGAUUUACUCAUGGAGCUGAAGUCAGUCGAAGAUACCAGCUGGCUGCAACUGUUUAUUAAAAACACAGCACUGUGCAAACACGAAAGUGGACGUAUACGGUGUGACGCCUGCCCGGUGCCGGAAGGUUAAUUGAUGGGGUCAGCGCAAGCGAAGCUCCUGAUCGAAGCCCCGGUAAACGGCGGCCGUAACUAUAACGGUCCUAAGGUAGCGAAAUUCCUUGUCGGGUAAGUUCCGACCUGCACGAAUGGCGUAAUGAUGGCCAGGCUGUCUCCACCCGAGACUCAGUGAAAUUGAACUCGCUGUGAAGAUGCAGUGUACCCGCGGCAAGACGGAAAGACCCCGUGAACCUUUACUAUAGCUUGACACUGAACAUUGAGCCUUGAUGUGUAGGAUAGGUGGGAGGCUUUGAAGUGUGGACGCCAGUCUGCAUGGAGCCGACCUUGAAAUACCACCCUUUAAUGUUUGAUGUUCUAACGUGGACCCGUGAUCCGGGUUGCGGACAGUGUCUGGUGGGUAGUUUGACUGGGGCGGUCUCCUCCUAAAGAGUAACGGAGGAGCACGAAGGUUGGCUAAUCCUGGUCGGACAUCAGGAGGUUAGUGCAAUGGCAUAAGCCAGCUUGACUGCGAGCGUGACGGCGCGAGCAGGUGCGAAAGCAGGUCAUAGUGAUCCGGUGGUUCUGAAUGGAAGGGCCAUCGCUCAACGGAUAAAAGGUACUCCGGGGAUAACAGGCUGAUACCGCCCAAGAGUUCAUAUCGACGGCGGUGUUUGGCACCUCGAUGUCGGCUCAUCACAUCCUGGGGCUGAAGUAGGUCCCAAGGGUAUGGCUGUUCGCCAUUUAAAGUGGUACGCGAGCUGGGUUUAGAACGUCGUGAGACAGUUCGGUCCCUAUCUGCCGUGGGCGCUGGAGAACUGAGGGGGGCUGCUCCUAGUACGAGAGGACCGGAGUGGACGCAUCACUGGUGUUCGGGUUGUCAUGCCAAUGGCACUGCCCGGUAGCUAAAUGCGGAAGAGAUAAGUGCUGAAAGCAUCUAAGCACGAAACUUGCCCCGAGAUGAGUUCUCCCUGAGACUUAGAGUCUCCUGAAGGAACGUUGAA